CCUACGGGGGACAGCAGUGAGGAAUAUUGGUCAAUGGACGCAAGUCUGAACCAGCCAUGCCGCGUGCAGGAUGACGGCUCUAUGAGUUGUAAACUGCUUUUGUACGAGGGUAAACCCCGAUACGUGUAUCGGGGUGAAAGUAUCGUACGAAUAAGGAUCGGCUAACUCCGUUCCAGCAGCCGCGGUAAUACGGAGGAUCCGAGCGUUAUCCGGAUUUAUUGGGUUUAAAGGGUGCGUAGGCGGUUUGAUAAGUUAGAGGUGAAAUGUCGGGGCUCAACCCCGAAACUGCCUCUAAUACUGUUGGACUAGAGAAUAGUUGCGGUAGGCGGAAUGUAUGGUGUAGCGGUGAAAUGCUUAGAGAUCAUACAGAACACCGAUUGCGAAGGCAGCUUACCAAACUAUAUCUGACGUUGAGGCACGAAAGCGUGGGUAGCGAACAGGAUUAGAUACCCUGGUAGUC
rnacentral:rRNA from 1 species